UACGUAGGGUGCGAGCGUUGUCCGGAUUUAUUGGGCGUAAAGCGAGCGCAGGUGGUUUAAUAAGUCUGAUGUAAAAGGCAGUGGCUCAACCAUUGUGUGCAUUGGAAACUGUUAGACUUGAGUGCAGUAGAGGAGAGUGGAAUUCCAUGUGUAGCGGUGAAAUGCGUAGAUAUAUGGAGGAACACCGGUGGCGAAAGCGGCUCUCUGGACUGUCACUGACACUGAGGCUCGAAAGCGUGGGUAGCAAACAGG
rnacentral:rRNA from 1 species